AUCUGGGAAUCUUGUUAAAAUGCAGAUUUUGAAUCAGUAAGUCUGGCAAUGGGGCCUGAGAUUCUGCAUUUCUAACAAGCUCCCAGGAGAGGUCAG
rnacentral:pre_miRNA from 1 species